GUGUAAGUCAGUAUACAGAAAUAUGCUUCAGUUUCUCUAUCUUAUGUCUGGGCUGUUUCGGUGAUGCCUAGGCAGAUGUCUUCUUGAUUAUAGGGAAGAAUCUGUAAGUGUGAAUUCAUGGGUGGGCAUCAGGGAUUUGUGUCAACAAGCGGUGGACCUCCUCAGCUGAUGACUUUUCAGGGCAUUAAGGUUUACAUGUCUAAUCGUGAGUUGCUGUGAGAAGUAAGGGUGCAAGAAACUUGAAAUAGAAGCUAGAACUCCUGACAGAAAGGCAUAAAGGAAAAACUCAGGAUUUGGAAUCAGCCUUGUGCUAAGGUUAUGAUUGGCAAAAUAAUAGUCGUACUUCUCACCACUCUGUAGAGCUGUGAAGCUGAUUUGAAAUGAGGUCUCUCAAAAGCACAUGGUGCCUAUGAGCAGAAAUAAAGGAAGAACCCAUCUGGAAUACAUCAAAACGAAUUAAGUUACCUUUUGCGUUGGUGGCAUUUGAAACUUCUGGGAUCAAUACCUACUGCAUGAAUACAUGAAGCCUGGAGGAAUCAGAAACCAAAAUAUUUUCCCAUUUCACUUGUCCAUUUUGAAUUUUCCCUCUGGAAAAUCAUUCUGUGAAACUGGGUUAGCCUUGGUGACCCUCCCUUGACAGCCAUCUGCUGAACCGCUCGUUGGGAAGCGCACCAUGUGUCAUGUGGGCAAAUGCCUUCAGGUUACACAGAUUUGAAAGAAAAUCAGAAACCUCACUGAUUGGAUCCAUUCGUUGUGGAUACACUCGUGCCCUCCCAGCAGGUUCCACUUGCUUGCAUCUUCUUCUGUGUUAGAAUUUUGUUGUUGUGUUAGGUUGUUGUAUACAUCGAAAGUAAUUGCAAAAACCACCAUCACUUUUGCAC